rnacentral:snRNA from 1 species
GCUUCAUUUGAAGGGAAGCAUUUUUAAGGUUAGACUUGACAACAGAGAAGAAUGCAGAUUUGUGACUGUGACCGUAAGUGAAAUCACAGAGAUAGGUGUUGAGAAAUGUAGUGAGUGGCAUGGCCCCUGCACAAGGAUAACACGCAAAUUCGUGAAGCAUUCCAUAUAAAA